UCUCUUCAGGGCAAGAAGGGCCGUCCUGGAGAUGAUGGAAGCCCUGGCCUAAAAGGACAGAAGGGUGAGAGUGGGCUCAGUGGUCUUCCGGGUCGGGAAGGAGCAGAGGGGAAAGCGGGAUACAAAGGAGAGAAGGGAGAGAGAGGGGAGUGCGGCACACCUGGAGUAAAGGGAGACAGAGGUCCUGAAGGUACUGUUGGCCCAAGAGGAAAUCGUGGACUUCAGG